rnacentral:rRNA from 1 species
GACGAGGGGCCUAGCGUUGUUCGGAAUCACUGGGCGUAAAGCGUAUGUAGGCGGGCUUUUAAGUCGGGUGUGAAAUCCCACGGCUCAACCGUGGAAUUGCAUUCGAAACUGGAAGUCUUGAGUGUGGGAGAGAUUGGUAGAAUACCUAGUGUAGUGGUGAAAUACGUAGAUAUUAGGUGGAAUACCGGUGGCGAAGGCGCAAUGGCCAAC